AGUUGCAUCACAAACUGCUAUUUGGACUAAGAACUCGACACAGCGGGCUCCAUUCCUCAAGCUUUAUAACUUUGUCCCGUGACUUUCAUCGCAACACUCUAUCAAAUAUCACCCAAAUACCAGGAAGUGCUCGUAAGUUUGGAAAUAUUCGCUGCAAUAUCCCAAGGCAUCAUUACAUGGAAAUCAAAGUAUUCAACAUUAUAAGAUUUACAGUUAAUUAAGCAGAAGGUAGGUGCUGAAAUUACUAUCUUAAAACUUGCUUAAACGUCAGUCUCAGCGCCCGGCACUUAUUACAAUUGCCCAUUUCAAUGUUUACUUUACACUUUAUGCACUUUUAAGAGAUGGAUUCCAUUCAAUGCACAUCAAUGAUAUUAUAGGGUUGCAUUCUGAUCAGCAUGAAAAUUAAACCACAAUAUUACAUAUCUGAAAAGUGUAAGUAAUUAUUGAAUCUGGGAAUUGGUGUACCAAGUUAAGGAGACCAUUCGGUUGAUAGGGAUGCAAGUACCUGAAAAAUACAAGGAGAACUUCGACGUUUCAAGCGAAAGCCCUUUCGGCGUCAGGAAGUUAGUAGCGAUAGUGCCGACAAAGGGUCUUAGACCACUCUUCGCUCGAAACCACGAAGUUCUCCUUGUAUUUUUUAGGUAGUUGCAUAUAUCUCUCACACACCAACCCCUCUUCUCGUCUCUUCGCCAAAAAACAACAUGGUAGUUGCAUGGAUAGGUUAGAUGACUCAGUUUUGAUGUUAGGGAGUUUGAGCAACACAAUGAAGCACAAAGACGAAGGCGUACUUGACAAUUUUUCCCGUCUGUACAUUAUCUUGCGCAUACCGAGUUGGACGUCACUGGUGGUUGCUCAAUGUGUCUUCCCAUGUGUAGCUGUUUAUGAAUACUGACCCUAAUUCUUGCCCUGACGCAGACAAAAGUGACAAAACAGCGAGACAUGAAACUAUAUAUCCCGUCUUUGUUCUGCUGCCUUUGUAUACAGUACAAAGUUCACGAAGAAUUUUGCCAAAAUAUUCGUUCCGAACGAAAGCAGAAUAACGAAGACGGGAUAUGGAUUCAAGGAUUUGGGUCAGCAUUCAUAUAAAACAGCUAGACAUGAAUGUCUCAAAUGUCUAAUCUGUCUUCACCCCUGACCCUCAACUCAGAAUACGCACAAGACAAUGUGCAAGACAGACUAAAAUUGUCAACUACGUCUUCGUCGUCCUACUUCGUUCUCUUGCUCAAACUCUCUAUUUUUUCUCGGAACAAUGUCAUAAAGAUCACGUUAAGAAUGAGAUUAAGAUAACUAUAAAGCCUUCGUCGAUGAAGGCCCUUAAUUUUCGCUCGAAACGUCGAGUUCUCCUUGUAUUUUUCAGCUAUAGUUACAUCGAUAUCAACCGAAGUUUUGUUAGUAUUGGCACUGACCUAUCCAAAUGACCGCCCUGCAUGCGCCGAGAAAAAGUUGCAGUUGAAUCAUAACAUGUAUUCAGUGAUGUAUUCGGCUGUCCAAUCAUUAUUAUGUGUCACUUAUAGCCAUAGUUUGUCUUCUGUGCAUGUGAAGCAAAAUAAACAAAGAUAUACAUGCACUUAAGCCGGGAAUAUAUUUUCGCUUUAAAUUAGGGAGCGGUCAUUAAUUUCAUACCCCUCCUUAUAAUUCUGCAGGGUGUCCCAAAAAAACCCAAGACUAUGGAAAUAACGUAAUAUUGUUAGAAUUUGAAUGCCUCAGCACUCUGCUGAACCCACAAGUGCAUAAAGGCUUUACAUAGCAAUAGGCCUAAGUAAAUUUUAUGCUUAAAGGAACUGUUUAAGAAGCUGCUUUAACUCCCAAAGCAGAAAAUCGUGAGCUUUACAAAGAUAUUUAAAUGUCUUAAUAAGUCAAUAUUUAUAAUAUAUAUGCACCCUAUCAAUAUUUUACGCACUUUGCGUUCAGUUUAGUGGGAGGGCAUUCAAAUUCUAAAAAUACGUUAUUUCUGAAUAUUUUUUUGUUUUUUGGGGACACCCUUAGUACCUGUACAGAAGCUGCUUUGUGCCAGACAUAUUAACAUUUAAAUUAACUGCUGUAUUGGGAAAGUAUGCAUGCACUCUUUGAACUUUUCAUUCUGGCCAAUGCCAGAUAUUCUAUUUGGGAGCCGGAGUGGAUAUCUCACUAUUAAAGAUGCACCCCUGCAUGGCUCUUUAUGGGUUAAUAAACGCUACAGUAUAUAUAUAUAUAUAUAUAUAUAUAUAUAUAUAUAUAUAUAUAUAUAUAUAUAUAUAUAUAUAUAUAUAUAUAUAUAUAUAUAUAUAUAUACAAAGUGUAUAAAAAAAACGCAAUCCAAGUUUAAGGCUUUAUAACCAAAAUAAUAUGGAUUUCCAUGUCUUAACUUUUAGUUCAUGUUUUAGCCUUAUCUUUUUUCUAUUCAAUAAGUGGUCGAUUGUGAAUUGUCGACUUAAGUUGGCAUCCUUAUCAAAUAAACCUUCGACACGAGUUGAAAGACAAUGAUUAUCCCGAGGCGACUUCAAUUCUGCCGAUGGUUCAACCAACAGCUACGAAACCCUCGAUUCUUAGCAAAUUUCGUUGUUGGGGACGAGGCCGGAUUUUGUAUGAAUGGUGACUGUUAAUUCUCACAAUGUCCGCCAGUACGCUCCCAGAGGCGAACCACCAGACUUUCAUUAUUACAGACGCCACCAAAAGAUAUCAACAAUCUGAGGAAGAAGAUACAGCUUGAAGCAGAUGCUUUGCAUGGAAAUCCUGAACUUAUAAGAAGAGUUGCACGAGAAAUGCAACGUCGAAGUGAUUUGUGUGUGCUGAGAAAUGGUGGCCACGUUGAAUAAUUGUAACCAACUAAAGUUAAAUGUUUAAUAAAAUUCAAGCUAUCUCAAAUUUUAAAUUGUCCAAUCACACUUACUAAAAAUAACAUUACUCGCUCAUUUCCAACUCAAAUUUAAACCAAUAAGCAGUCUUAAGAAUGCGGAAUGAUAGAGCUUUCUAACAGUAGUAAAUAUAGCCUAUUUCCUAAUUCUUUUCGUUAUGAAAAUUUCAUUUGAACGUAGGAUUGCGUUUUUUUUAUACACCCUGUAUAUAUAUAUAUAUAUAUAUAUAUAUAUAUAUAUAUAUAUAUAUAUAUAUAUAUAUAUAUAUAUAUAUAUAUAUAUAUAUAUAUAUAUUUGUUGUUUCAAGCCGCUUUGCAUGCUUUUUAUAAAAUUGGUCUUAACCUUCCUAGGAAGAAAGAUUUCCGUUCAUGCCCCCCCCCGCCAAAUAAAAAAGCAUCCGCCCCCACCCCAUGACACAUACUUAAUGACCGCUCUAUUUAAUGAGCGCUACUAUUGUUUUUGAAAAUGCCAAAAAUUAGCAUGAAAACAAUCUUUAGUUAUAAUUGUCAAUGUAGUUCUACUUGUUAAAUAGUCUUUUUAUUUUGGUUGUAUCUCGCUCAAUCAGUUGCAUGUAAAUUCAAGUACAAUAUACAAAAUCUAAGUUAGUCCUUUCAGAAUGCAUUAAUCGUCAUUUCAUUGUGCUAGCUUUUACACUAUAUGAAAUCAAACAGUGUCCAGUUUUGUUUGGGACACCCGGAAGUUCAACUGCAAUUUAUUUAGCCGGUUUUCCAUUUCACCCGUACCGUACCAUAACCGAACGUAGCGAAAACGUUUUUAAAUUUCAAAAUUUCGUAAAUGUUGAUUGGUUAGUACUUCCGUAGUACGCCAAAAAGUUGACUUGCGACGAACUUUUUAUUUUGAUACGCGAAUACACCCGGAAGUACGUGGAUUUAUAAACCUCUUUUCAAUCUGCGCAUGCUCACCGAUACGUUGCGGUACGAUACGGGCGAAGUGGAAAACCGGCUUUUCUACGCUGAACACGUCAUUUGGAUGUGCAGUGGAAAAUCUAAAUUGGUUUAUGAGAAUUUUUAUUAUGUUAUUGACAUUGUUAGAAGAUGGAGCAGCCACCACCCUACAGUCCAGAGGGACCGCACCACCACCCACAGCGUGGAUAUCAAGGAUAUGAGCCACUUCCUAACACCGAUUAUACCCCACAACAACAGGCUGGGUAUCCACCACAGAAACAUUAUGAAGGGGGAUAUCAAAACCAAGGGUAUCCGCCUCAAAACCCGGGGUAUCCACCUCAAAACUCAGGAUAUCCACCUCAAGGACAAGAAACUAAUAUUCAGCAACCUGCAGGGUUUUCUUCGCAACGUACCAAUAAUACAAUCGUGGUGGUACAAGUAAGGGUCUGUUAUAGAGGUGUGCAUCGGAUCGGAUUGGACGUUUAUAAUCCGACAAUUGCCUAAUGUUUAAAAUUCGAUCCGAUCCGAAAUUGUCUAAUCCGAAUCCGAUCCGAGUUUCGAUAAAGAAUUCCAAUCCGAUC